UACGGAGGGAGCUAGCGUUGUUCGGAAUUACUGGGCGUAAAGCGCACGUAGGCGGCUUUUUAAGUCAGGGUGAAAUCCCGGGGCUCAACCCCGGAACUGCCCUUGAAACUGGAGAGCUAGAAUCUGGAGAGGCGAGUGGAAUUCCGAGUGUAGAGGUGAAAUUCGUAGAUAUUCGGAAGAACACCAGUGGCGAAGGCGACUCGCUGGACAAGUAUUGACGCUGAGGUGGCGAAAGCGUGGGAGCAAACAGGG
rnacentral:rRNA from 1 species